UAGGGAAUCUUCGGCAAUGGACGAAAGUCUGACCGAGCAACGCCGCGUGAGUGAAGAAGGUUUUCGGAUCGUAAAACUCUGUUGUUAGAGAAGAACAAGGACGUUAGUAACUGAACGUCCCCUGACGGUAUCUAACCAGAAAGCCACGGCUAACUACGUGCCAGCAGCCGCGGUAAUACGUAGGUGGCAAGCGUUGUCCGGAUUUAUUGGGCGUAAAGCGAGCGCAGGCGGUUUCUUAAGUCUGAUGUGAAAGCCCCCGGCUCAACCGGGGAGGGUCAUUUGAAACUGGGGGACUUGAGUGCAGAAGAGGAGAGUGGAAUUCCAUGUGUAGCGGUGAAAUGCGUAGAUAUAGGGAGGAACACCAGUGGCGAAGGCAGCUCUCUGGGCUGUAACUGACGCUGAGGCUCGAAAGCGUGGGGAGCAAACAGG
rnacentral:rRNA from 1 species